rnacentral:lncRNA from 1 species
GUUCCCGCCGUGCCCUGGCGCGGCCCACGCCCACGCUGGGGGGGAGGUCACCCCCGAGCCCAUCGUGGAAGCUUCACCCGGGGAAGAAGCCCCAGUCCGCUCCGCGCUGUUCCGAGUGGCCGCUGGACCCGGCAGGAAGCGGCUGGAACGCCCGCGCGCGCCCUUGCCGCCGGCCUUGGCUUUGCUGACGAGAGCGGCUCCCGCGCCCGUCUCGCCUCCCCUCCCCCACGGGCCCGCGCAGGAGGAGACUUGGUGCUUGUAUGAUGUUGCUCGGAGCUCACAUUUCGGGCUGAAGUUCAUAAGUCCUUCAAAAAGUAUUUUCGCAAGUAUGGAAACAUCUCAACUAUUAGUUUUGACUCUCUCCAGCUAGAUCCGAUGAGAAGAAACUGUGCUCACUGAGGCUGUGAGAAAAAUGGAGGGGACUGAGGCAAAAAGAGCCGACAAACCUGACUUCCAAGGUAGUGGCUCAUUUCCCUGAGUGUCAGCCGGCAAGUCAUUAAAAGGAGCUUUGGAAAUGAGGUGUCUUAGAGGGCAACCAAACCUGCUAGCUGAAGAAUUGCAUUUGUUUUGGGCUUAAUUUUUAUGAUCGCUUGAAGGAAGAAAAAAAAAAAGGCAGAACAUGAAAAUGAGCCGAAUCACACUGUACCAGGGGAUUUGACAAUGAGAAGAGGCAUAAAUAAGAUCACGUGUCCUUACUUGGAAGACAGGAGGUUGGAUCUGUGUUUCUAAGCCUACCAAAUGUCCCUUUACCAUCUAAAUAUCAUUGAGGGAGAGAAUUCACUCAUCUUCUUAUUGCUGUCCAUUCAGUUUCUAUGUCUCUUCCACACUGUGGCCAGAAUGCAGCUGCCUGGCUGGGGACUGUUCUUUCCAGCAUCCUUUGCAGCUUGCCGGGGUCGUGUGAUAAGAUCCCAUCAAUGAAAAACGAGCAGAAGUUGGGUGUCUAAGAAGUGACUAUGCCUUCUCUGCUAUCUCUGAGGGCUGGAAACAAUUCUGAAGAUACAGGGUAGGGUCGGGUCUGACAAUAGAAGCCUGAGACCCUUAUCACUAUGUGGAGCAAAGUCUCCCACAGCUCUGGGACACCUGCUUUGGACUGGCAUCUGACUGUGUUAAUCUUCUGGGGGUGUUAAGUCGCUGAAGUUCUGAAGUUUAUUGUUACAGCAACUAAAAUUACCCCAACACAGAAACUAUGAAAACUGACAUUCCUCCCUGAAUGUCCCAUUGUCGCUGUGUCUUCCAUACCAGACCAUGAAACUCCUUUAGGAAUGUUGUGAUAUCCUGUGUAGUGCAGGUAUCUUAUAAAUGCAUGUGGAAGGAUGGAAGGAAGGAAUGGAAGGGAAGAGAGAGAGAUAAAGGGAGAGAGAGAGAGAGAGGAGAGUCAGUGCAUAUGCAUUUAAGGUGACUGCUUAUUUUCUUUUAGGCUUUCAAACACAACAUACUCUUGCACCCUCACCCUCCCGUUAACUGGUGGAGAGAGGGGAAAUAUGUCUACUUUAUGCACAGUCUUCCAGAGGAUGAACAUGCUGCCAUGAGGGAAAUUUCUUGCUGGAGGAAAGCAAUCCCUUAGAGAAAGCAGACCACAUAUCAUCACCCAAGAGAGCUGGGCCACCGCCAACAUCUCCAUCAGCAACUUGGAAGAGUUGUCCGUCUUCCCAACACAAUAAAACUGGAGCCAUGAGAGUCCA